UAAAAGUGAACAUGUGGGCCUGGAGGGCCUUUAGCAUGCAGCUGGGCUCCCAGUUCAGGCAGCAUUACAGGUGCCUGCCCUUGGGUCUUGUUCUGAGUGCGCGGUGAGGACUCCACCAGGCCAGCCCAUUUCAGUCUGAAACAAUCUGAAAUAUGGGCUGUCUCCACAAAUGUUCA